rnacentral:rRNA from 1 species
CAGUCGCCGCGGUAAUACGUAGGUGGCGAGCGUUGUCCGGAAUUAUUGGGCGUAAAGGGAGCGCAGGCGGACAUAUAAGUCCAUCUUAAAAGUGCGGGGCUCAACCCCGUGAGGGGAUGGAAACUGUAUGCCUUGAGUGCAGGAGAGGAAAGCGGAAUUCCCAGUGUAGCGGUGAAAUGCGUAGAUAUUGGGAGGAACACCAGUGGCGAAGGCGGCUUUCUGGACUGCAACUGACGCUGAGGCUCGAAAGCCAGGGGAGCGAACGGGAUUAGAGACCCGCGUAGUCCCUGUCUCUUAUACA